rnacentral:rRNA from 1 species
UACAGGAGAAGCUGACGUUAUUCGUAGUUAUUGGGUGUAAAGGGUAAGUAGAUGGUAUCGCUUUAUAAUUAUUAAAAAGAAUUUUAUUUUCCUAUUAUAAGAUCAAAAUCGAUACUAGAGUUAAUUAGUAAAUAUAAAAAUUUACAAUGUAGAGGUGAAAAUUUAAAAUAUUGUAAGGAAUGCCUUAAACGAAAGUUUUUAUUUCUAAUUAUCUGACAUUAAAUUACGUAGGUUUGGGGAGCAAACAAG